CUCCACCGGAAAAAGAAGAGUGGCGAACGGGUGAGUAACACGUGGGUAACCUNCCCAUCAGAAGGGGAUACACUUGGAAACAGGUGCUAAUACCGUAUAACAAUCGAAACCGCAUGGUUUUGAUUUGAAAGGCGCUUUCGGGUGUCGCUGAUGGAUGGACCCGCGGUGCAUUAGCUAGUUGGUGAGGUAACGGCUCACCAAGGCNACGAUGCAUAGCCGACCUGAGAGGGUGAUCGGCCACAUUGGGACUGAGACACGGCAAACUCCUACGGGAGGCAGCAGUAGGGAAUCUUCGGCAAUGGACGAAAGUCUGACCGAGCAACGCCGCGUGAGUGAAGAAGGUUUUCG
rnacentral:rRNA from 1 species